CCGAUAACUAACAAUAUUCUUGCAUUAAUAAAGAACCCACACUAGCAAAUUCAAUUCGUUAGUUUAUUCCAUAUUCGUUAAUUUAUUCGAUAUUCGUUAAUUUAUUCGAUAUUUCAAAUUUUCAAAACACGCAUAAAUUACUCGCAAUGUCUCCGAUAUUUUUCGAUCUUUUACGAUAUUUAUCACGAAUUAAAACCCACACGCAACCAUAUACAACAAUUCAAGAUUCUCUUACGUCCCAACCAUCGACAAUUCCUCACACUUUUGCGAAUUAAAUCCAACAACGAUACGAAUACUUCUUGCAAAUGCCGCCUGUCAAUAUUUUUCCAAUACUACGAACGAAAGAUCACGAUUAUAUCAUUAUAAAAACUCCAAUGUCCUGGCAGGAUCGCCAAAAAUAUGUUCUCAAGACUCGAAACUCUUUUUAUAAACUUUAAUUUAACAAAAAUAAACGAAAAGAACAAUAAUAAAAGUAAUAUUUCCCUCAUAAAAUCUCACGAACAACGUUUUUCGAACGUCCUUAAAACCCGUUGCCUAGCAACCCCUCAUUGGACAUAGUUGCCCAAGUUUACUGUUUUCGAAAUGUCAACCAUAAAAUGUCAACUACGAAUUAACUACAAAAUACAGUUAUCUUAACAACACAUAUUCUACAAUCUACCUCAAAUAUUCAUGUAUAUUUCAGGGCAAGAAAGGUGAUCAAGGAAAGAUUGGUCUUGCUGGGCAUUCUGGCAAACUGGUAAUUCAGUUUGAAUUUGUUUUGUUUCCUUUUUAUUCCAAAGAACAUAUUCUCUAUAAUAAUAAUAAUAAUGAUAAUAAUAAUAAUGGAAACUUUAAUAAUUUUGUUAUAUACUAUAUAAUAAUAAUAAUAAUAAUAAUAAUAAUAAUAAUAAUAAUAAUAAUAAUAAUAAUAAUAAUAAUAAUAAUAAUAAUAAUAAUAAUAAUAAUCAUAGUAGAUAGAGGAAAUUCAUCCGUGCAAGGAAGUUGUUAUUUUCCGCUUUCAAAUCUACUUGCCGCUCUUGGCAACUGGAUUUCAGUCACAACGUUACACCGGAAUCACGGGACCGCAGGUUGAUUUCUGCCGGAGAUCCUAUAAUUUCAUUACUUCGCAACAGAUCCCUUAAAGGAAACUCUUCAUAUUUCUAACAUAUGUUAUAUGUCCAAUUUCUCUAGGGCGGAAGAGGAAAGAAAGGAAUAGUUGGGGUAGCUGGAAUGAAGGGACCAACGG
rnacentral:lncRNA from 1 species